UACGUAGGGGGCAAGCGUUAUCCGGAUUUACUGGGUGUAAAGGGAGCGUAGACGGCAGUGCAAGUCCGGAGUGAAAGCCCGGGGCUCAACCCUGGGACUGCUCUGGAAACUGUAAAGCUGGAGUGCGGGAGGGGCAGGCGGAAUUCCUGGUGUAGCGGUGAAAUGCGUAGAUAUCACGAAGAACCCCGAUUGCGAAGGCAGCAUACCGGCUCCACACUGACGCUGAGGCACGAAAGCGUGGGUAUCGAACAGG
rnacentral:rRNA from 1 species